GACGAACGCUGGCGGCGUGCUUAACACAUGCAAGUCGAACGGAAAGGCUCCUUCGGGAGUGCUCGAGUGGCGAACGGGUGAGUAACACGUGGGUGAUCUGCCCUGCACUUUGGGAUAAGCCUGGGAAACUGGGUCUAAUACCGGAUAGGACUACGAAUCGCAUGGUUUGUGGUGGAAAGCUUUUGCGGUGUGGGAUGGGCCCGCGGCCUAUCAGCUUGUUGGUGGGGUGAUGGCCUACCAAGGCGACGACGGGUAGCCGGCCUGAGAGGGUGUCCGGCCACACUGGGACUGAGAUACGGCCCAGACUCCUACGGGAGGCAGCAGUGGGGAAUAUUGCACAAUGGGCGCAAGCCUGAUGCAGCGACGCCGCGUGAGGGAUGACGGCCUUCGGGUUGUAAACCUCUUUCAGUAGGGACGAAGCGCGAGUGACGGUACCUAUAGAAGAAGCACCGGCCAACUACGUGCCAGCCGCCGCC
rnacentral:rRNA from 1 species